rnacentral:tRNA from 1 species
GGAGGGGUGCAGGAGUGGUUGAACUGGCACGCCUGGAAAGCGUGUAGGCGGGAAACCGUCUCGAGGGUUCGAAUCCCUCUCCCUCCGCCA